GAUGAACGCUGGCGGCGUGCCUAAUACAUGCAAGUCGAGCGAACGGACGAGAAGCUUGCUUUUCUGAUGUUAGCGGCGGACGGGUGAGUAACACGUGGAUAACCUACCUAUAAGACUGGGAUAACUUCGGGAAACCGGAGCUAAUACCGGAUAAUAUUUUGAACCGCAUGGUUCAAAAGUGAAAGACGGUCUUGCUGUCACUUAUAGAUGGAUCCGCGCUGCAUUAGCUAGUUGGUAAGGUAACGGCUUACCAAGGCAACGAUGCAUAGCCGACCUGAGAGGGUGAUCGGCCACACUGGAACUGAGACACGGUCCAGACUCCUACGGGAGGCAGCAGUAGGGAAUCUUCCGCAAUGGGCGAAAGCCUGACGGAGCAACGCCGCGUGAGUGAUGAAGGUCUUCGGAUCGUAAAACUCUGUUAUUAGGGAAGAACAUAUGUGUAAGUAACUGUGCACAUCUUGACGGUACCUAAUCAGAAAGCCACGGCUAACUACGUGCCAGCAGCCGCGGUAAUACGUAGGUGGCAAGCGUUAUCCGGAAUUAUUGGGCGUAAAGCGCGCGUAGGCGGUUUUUUAAGUCUGAUGUGAAAGCCCACGGCUCAACCGUGGAGGGUCAUUGGAAACUGGAAAACUUGAGUGCAGAAGAGGAAAGUGGAAUUCCAUGUGUAGCGGUGAAAUGCGCAGAGAUAUGGAGGAACACCAGUGGCGAAGGCGACUUUCUGGUCUGUAACUGACGCUGAUGUGCGAAAGCGUGGGGAUCAAACAGGAUUAGAUACCCUGGUAGUCCACGCCGUAAACGAUGAGUGCUAAGUGUUAGGGGGUUUCCGCCCCUUAGUGCUGCAGCUAACGCAUUAAGCACUCCGCCUGGGGAGUACGACCGCAAGGUUGAAACUCAAAGGAAUUGACGGGGACCCGCACAAGCGGUGGAGCAUGUGGUUUAAUUCGGAGCAACGCGAAGAACCUUACCAAAUCUUGACAUCCUUUGACAACUCUAGAGAUAGAGCCUUCCCCUUCGGGGGACAAAGUGACAGGUGGUGCAUGGUUGUCGUCAGCUCGUGUCGUGAGAUGUUGGGUUAAGUCCCGCAACGAGCGCAACCCUUAAGCUUAGUUGCCAUCAUUAAGUUGGGCACUCUAAGUUGACUGCCGGUGACAAACCGGAGGAAGGUGGGGAUGACGUCAAAUCAUCAUGCCCCUUAUGAUUUGGGCUACACACGUGCUACAAUGGACAAUACAAAGGGCAGCGAAACCGCGAGGUCAAGCAAAUCCCAUAAAGUUGUUCUCAGUUCGGAUUGUAGUCUGCAGCUCGACUACAUGAAGCUGGAAUCGCUAGUAAUCGUAGAUCAGCAUGCUACGGUGAAUACGUUCCCGGGUCU
rnacentral:rRNA from 1 species